rnacentral:misc_RNA from 1 species
GAUGAAGAACGUAGCGAAAUGCGAUAAGUAAUGCGAAUUGCAGAAUUUCCGUGAGUCAUCGAAUCUUUGAACGCACAUUGCGCCCACUGGUAUUCCGGUGGACAUGCCUGUUCGAGCGUCAUUAUCCUCCCUCAAACCCCGGGUUUGGUGUUGGACCCAAGUUGUGUGAACAACUGGUCUCAAAGACAAUGACGGCGUCCGUGGGACCCUCGGUGCAACGAGCUUUUAGGAGCACGCAUCGAGUUGCAAGGACCUUCCGGGCCGGUCUCCUUUACCAUUUUACAAGGUUGACCUCGGAUCAGGUAGGAAUACCCGCUGAACUUAAGCAUAUCAAUAAGCGGAGGA